GACGAACCGUGCAAACGUUAUUCGGAAUCACUGGGCUUAAAGGGUGCGUAGGCGGCUUUGUAAGUCAGUGGUGAAAUAUGGCAGCUUAACUGUCAGGGUGCCAUUGAUACUGCAGAGCUUGAGUACAGAUGAGGUAGGCGGAAUUGACGGUGUAGCGGUGAAAUGCUUAGAUAUCGUCAAGAACACCUAUAGCGAAGGCAGCUUACUAGGCUGUAACUGACGCUGAGGCACGAAAGUGUGGGGAUCAAACAGG
rnacentral:rRNA from 1 species